rnacentral:rRNA from 1 species
UACGUAGGGUGCGAGCGUUGUCCGGAAUUAUUGGGCGUAAAGAGCUCGUAGGCGGCCAGUUGCGUCUGCUGUGAAAUCCCGGGGCUCAACCCCGGGCUUGCAGUGGAUACGGGCUGGCUGGAGGCAGGCAGGGGAGAACGGAAUUCCCGGUGUAGCGGUGAAAUGCGCAGAUAUCGGGAGGAACACCGGUGGCGAAGGCAGAUCUCUGGGCCGUAACUGACGCUGAGGAGCGAAAGCAUGGGGAGCGAACAGG